rnacentral:rRNA from 1 species
AAUCAACGCUGGCGGCGUGCCUCAGACAUGCAAGUCGAACGAUUAAAGCUCUCUUCGGAGAGUGUAUAGAGUGGCGCACGGGUGAGUAACACGUAAGUAAUCUACCUUUGAGUGGGGAAUAACAGUCGGAAACGACUGCUAAUACCGCAUAAUGCAGCGGCAUCGCAAGAUGACAGUUGUUAAAGGAGCAAUCCGCUUAAAGAGGAGCUUGCGGCAGAUUAGCUUGUUGGUAAGGUAACGGCUUACCAAGGCUACGAUCUGUAUCCGGUCUAAGAGGACGGUCGGACACACUGACACUGAAUAACGGGUCAGACUCCUACGGGAGGCAGCAGUCGGGAAUUUUGGGUCAAUGGGCGAAAGACCUGACCCACGCAACGCCGCGUGAAGGAUGAAGUAUUU